GCCGAAGUAGCUCAGCUGGGAGAACAUUAGAGUGAAAAUCUAAAGGUCCCUGGUUCGAGCCCAGGUUUCAGCA